rnacentral:misc_RNA from 1 species
GGCUUGGUUGCAGAGCAAGGCAUUGGUUGUAACAUUGUAUAGCCUCAUCCACUCUGCCGAACUCCUUAAGAGCAUUACCCAAAUUGUUGUAGGCCUCCAAAAAUCUAGGAUCACAUGUAAUAGCUUGCUUGUAAUGUAGUAUUGCCAUAUCAAGUUGACUUUGUUCGUAAUAGGUACUUGCCAAAUUACCAUAUGCUAUUGCAUAGUUCGGUCGCAUCUGAA